AUGGAUAGGCAAGGCAUUUCACCUUCGGUCUACAACAACAACGACGAGUUCGAUGCCAAGAACAACAACUUCGACGCCAAGAUGCAAGCUCAAAUGGAGGAGAUCAAAGCCCUCUUCAAGUCCUACAAGAGAUCUUCCUCAUCUUCGAGAAGACGCUCUAGUGCACACCCUUCCAAGCUACCAUCUUCGGCAAGAUCACAUCGGCAUCGACACCAUCACCAACAAGAACGUGAAGGUCAAGAGCUCAACACCAACAACCGCUCAACGACUUCACCAUUUCCCUUGGCAUCUCCGCCAAGCAACUACAAGGCAUCUUCGCCUACGGACAUACGGCAUCUUCGCCCACAAGUACCUCAAGACUACAAUCAAGAGAAGCUCCCCAAGCUCAAGUCCGCGACUUCCACGAGCUACUACGACCUCAACACCGACCACAAUAUUCCUUUCUAUGGGACUCAAUGA
rnacentral:rRNA from 1 species